UGUAACUGACGCUAAUGCUCGAAAGUGCGGGUAUCAAACAGGAUUAGAUACCCUGGUAGUCCGCACAGUAAACGAUGGAUACCCGCAGUCGGCGACAUAUUGUCGGCUGCCAAGCGAAAGCAUUAAGUAUCCCACCUGGGGAGUACGCCGGCAACGGUGAAACUCAAAGGAAUUGACGGGGGCCCGCACAAGCGGAGGAACAUGUGGUUUAAUUCGAUGAUACGCGAGGAACCUUACCCGGGCUUGAAUUGCAGGCGACGGGGCGAGAGAUCGUCCUUUCUUCGGACGCCUGUGAAGGUGCUGCAUGGUUGUCGUCAGCUCGUGCCGUGAGGUGUCGGCUCAAGUGCCAUAACGAGCGCAACCCCUGUCUUCAGUUGCCAUCAGGCUAUGCUGGGCACUCUGGAGAUACUGCCAUCGCAAGAUGUGAGGAAGGUGGGGAUGACGUCAAAUCAGCACGGCCCUUACGUCCGGGGCUACACACGUGUUACAAUGGGGGAUACAGAGGGCCGCCACCGGGUGACCGGGCGCCAAUCCAUUAAAAUCCCUCUCAGUUCGGACUGGAGUCUGCAACCCGACUCCACGAAGCUGGAUUCGCUAGUAA
rnacentral:rRNA from 1 species